rnacentral:lncRNA from 1 species
UUUAUUUACACUAGAUAUCACCCUAUUUGACUGGUUUUACCCACAAUUGGUAUUUUUGUAUUAAUUUCAGAAAUUGGAGCGAAAAAGACUUAAAUGGAGGAUUCCUAACGAUUUGCACGUGGGGCACCGAAGUUCAAGGUUCAAAAUUAGAAAUUGGCAGUUUCCUAACGUCGAACAGUUUCCAAUCCAAGUCAAAUUCCAAAACUUGAUAGCUGCUAAAGUUUCCUAUUUUCCUUGCACCUUACGUCAGCCUUGAACUAUUGGGAAAGCUUUUAGAAAACUAAAUUGUAAUAGGACUUUUGGAGGAAUUUGAUUGGUAUUAGGAAACCAAUCAAUUAAAAAGUCAGCCAAGUAGAAUUCGGGGGAGACAACUUUCGUUUUUUUGCGAGAGACGGAAAAAGCACAAUUGCUCUUGUCUUUACUUUUCCUUUUGACCGAUUUUUAAAGAAGACAAUUGAAAAACUUCGAAUAGAUUUUUCUAGCAUAGCUUAUUCUCCAUUAAUGGAGAGUUAAUUUCAUAUUUCUAGUCAAGGAACACCGAAGAUUUGGUUCAGCGAUCACUAUAAGAUAU